GCCAUAGUGCGCAGCUAAUAUAAGCCAUGACAGUGAAUUUUCUACGGCUUAAAAUUAUAAACUGCAAAGGCUCGAAUCAAACAACACAACUACUGUUUCUCUGUGGGACUCAGUGUAUAUGUUUGCAACAUUAAAGACAUUUACUGGAUGCCUCCCGAUACCACGCAGACAUUUCGCAUUUAUUUCAUAAAUGCGACCCAGCAAUAAACUUUCCAGCUGUCGUGCCCGAAACCAGAGGCUAAAAGACAAGUAGGUGAGUGUGACACAUUCAUAAAUGCAUGUGCUACCUAGAAUUCCAUUUUGGGGAGGGCCUGAGAACUGCACGAUAUCUCCGCUCGCUGCUGCUGCUGCUGCUGUCGCACGGCACAUGGCACACGAGUCUGCAGAAUCCAGGUAAAUCCUUUAAGAAGGCGGCGGUGACAGUCAUGACUACGAUACAGACGAGUGAACUUGAUUAAAUCUCGGCGCAUCCGAGAGAAGAAAAAACACGCAUAUCUUCUCAGAAGAAACUUAUGUGCGGGCUUUAGCGAAGAAGACAUCUUUAUCCCAGUCGUGUGACAGCAGUCGGAACCAGAAUUGGACCGUACGAUCGACAAACUUUUCUACAACUGUCAAUACGUAGAAUCAAAUCAGUGGACGUAAAUCAAAUACGAGCUGGGUUGAUUCAGCGCUCAAACAAUGGAAGUCGAGCAGAGCCAGGGGUCCCAGAAGAUACUCCAAGACAUCAGCGGACAAGACAUACAUAACAUACAGACUACUGUAUUCUUACAUCAAUUAUAACUAACAAUCUUCUACACAUUAUUUAAUGCAGUAAUACUAAUGUUCUUAAUAAAGGUUAUUUAAAAGCCCGACUGCAAAAAUGUGGGCAGAUCCUGUAUAGCUCAAAGGAAUAGUUCAUCUAAAAAUGAAAAUUCUGUCAUCAUUUACUCAGCUUCAUAUCCUUCCAACCAUGUAUAAUUUUCUUUCUUCUUCAGAUGAAGAUAUUUUGAAGAAUGUUUCAACUCUUUUGAUCCAUAUGAUGAAAGUCAGUGAGGUCCAAAACAACACAGAACCCCACUUACAAUCAUUGUAUAGACCAAAAAAAGUUGUGAUCCACAGAAGAAAGGAAGUCAUACAGUUUUGAAACAUACGCAAAUGAUAAAAGAAUUUUCAUUUUUUGGCAGAACUAUUCCUUUAACAGAGACAGAGGAUGUUUUUGAUGAAGAGGGUGGCUUAAUAUAGCCAGGUAUUCUCAGCAUCUCUCACCCCUCUCCAAGAGCCCAGCGAUUUGACCCACAGGAUUAACAAGUCAGUGUUUAUGACAGAGGCCAUGGAGGAGAACCCCCCCCCCACCUCCAAACACACAUUAUCCUGAGCCUGAUGCUUGUGUGAAACUCAAGCCUUGACUCUCUAAUGGAAGUUAACAUCAGCAUUCUAAGUGGACAUGUGCUGUCAGAUGCCAAAACUGUGAUGACCUUAAUUAGCAGUUAAGACGGGGUAUAUUCUGUAAUAGAUGCGAAAAAAGCCUAAUGAAUACAUCAGCUGUUAUGCAGUCAGUUUACUUCUAUUUAAAGUUCCGUACCAGAGUAAUUUUCUAAAUAUGUGACGGACGCACCGCUAAGGUGUGAGUUUCCUUAAGCUAAUAUAAGACACAGAUGAGCGGCUACCACUGCCAGGGCGAAACAAGACAUACUGUAGAAAUGCACAAAUGGCUUGAUAAAGGACAGGGUACAUUCUUAUGCCAUGCCCUGAUCCCGCAACCACGUCGUCUUCUGACAAUCCAUCAACGACGUGCGAGCCAAGGGCUAAAUGAAAACCAAAUAUGCCAUACCUGCAGAAAGCUGAGCCAGCUAACACAUGGGUGUCAGUUUGCUCAUGUCGUGUAGGAGCAUUUUAUGAGGUGAUGUUAAUGGGAUACAGAAAGGAGGUCCUUGUUGUGCACACUUCAUCUCGGGGUAUGUCAUCCCUCAGGCCUCAUGAACCUGCGCUGGGGUCAGAAACAGGAGAACCAGAUAGAUUAUCCAGACCAGAUACAAGUUGUUCACACACACAC